rnacentral:rRNA from 1 species
GAUGAACGCUGGCGGCAUGCCUAAUACAUGCAAGUCGAACGAGAGGAAGGAAAGCUUGCUUUUCUGAAUCUAGUGGCGAACGGGUGAGUAACACGUAGGUAACCUGCCCAUGUGCCCGGGAUAACUUCUGGAAACGGAUGCUAAAACCGGAUAGGUAGCAGACAAGCAUUUGACUGCUAUUAAAGUGGCUAAGGCCAUGAACAUGGAUGGACCUGCGGUGCAUUAGCUAGUUGGUGAGGUAACGGCCCACCAAGGCGACGAUGCAUAGCCGGCCUGAGAGGGCGGACGGCCACAUUGGGACGGAGACACGGCCCAAACUCCUACGGGAGGCAGCAGUAGGGAAUUUUCGUCAGUGGGGGGAACCCUGAACGAGCAAUGCCGCGUGAGUGAGGAAGGUCUUCGGAUCGUAAAGCUCUGUUGUAAGAGAAAAACGACAUUCAUAGGGAAUGAUGAGUGAGUGAUGGUAUCUUACCAGAAAGUCACGGCUAACUACGUGCCAGCCGCCGCAGUAA